CCUACGGGUGGCAGCAGUGAGGAAUAUUGGUCAAUGGACGAGAGUCUGAACCAGCCAAGUAGCGUGCAGGAUGACUGCCCUAUGGGUUGUAAACUUCUUUUAUAUGGGAAUAAAAUGUUUCACGUGUGGGAUUUUGUAUGUACCAUAUGAAUAAGGAUCGGCUAACUCCGUGCCAGCAGCCGCGGUAAUACGGAGGAUCCGAGCGUUAUCCGGAUUUAUUGGGUUUAAAGGGAGCGUAGGUGGCUUGUUAAGUCAGUUGUGAAAGUUUGCGGCUCAACCGUAAAAUUGCAGUUGAAACUGGCAGUCUUGAGUACAGUAGAGGUGGGCGGAAUUCGUGGUGUAGCGGUGAAAUGCUUAGAUAUCACGAAGAACUCCGAUUGCGAAGGCAGUUCACUGGACUGCAACUGACACUGAGGCUCGAAAGUGUGGGUAUCAAACAGGAUUAGAUACCCUUGUAGUC
rnacentral:rRNA from 1 species